rnacentral:rRNA from 1 species
CAGCCGCCGCGGGAAUACGUAGGGUGCAAGCGUUAAUCGGAAUUACUGGGCGUAAAGCGUGCGCAGGCGGUUAUAUAAGUCAGAUGUGAAAUCCCCGGGCUCAACCUGGGAACUGCAUUUGAGACUGUAUGGCUAGAGUGUGUCAGAGGGGGGUAGAAUUCCACGUGUAGCAGUGAAAUGCGUAGAGAUGUGGAGGAAUACCGAUGGCGAAGGCAGCCCCCUGGGCCAAUACUGACGCUCAUGCACGAAAGCGUGGGGAGCAAACAGGAUUAGAGACCCCUGUAGUCCCUGUCUCUUAUAC